rnacentral:rRNA from 1 species
AAUAAACGCUGGCGACGUGCCUAACACAUGCAAGUCGAGCGGGAAUAGUUCUUCGGAAUGAUUUCUAGCGGCAGACGGGUGAGUAAAGCAUGAGAAUCUGCCCCUUAGUAGAGAAUACUCCCGAGAAAUUGGGCUUAAUACUGUAUGUUUCCUUUCGAGGAAAAAGAUGGCCUCUUGCUAUCGCUAAGGGAUGAGCUUAUGUGCUAUCAGCUAGUUGGUGAGGUAAUGGCUUACCAAGGCUAUGACGGCUAGCCGGCCUGAGAGGGUGUACGGCCACACUGGAACUUAGACACGGUCCAGACUCCUACGGGUGGCAG